rnacentral:rRNA from 1 species
ACCGGCAGCUCAAGUGGUGGCCAUUAUUAUUGGGCCUAAAGCGUUCGUAGCCGGUUUGAUAAGUCUCUGGUGAAAUCCUGCAGCUUAACUGUGGGACUUGCUGGAGAUACUAUCAGACUUGAGGUCGGGAGAGGUUAGGGGUACUCCCAGGGUAGGGGUGAAAUCCUAUAAUCCUGGGAGGACCACCUGUGGCGAAGGCGCCUCACCAGAACGGACCCGACGGUGAGUAACGAAAGCUAGGGGAGCAAACCG